rnacentral:rRNA from 1 species
GCCAUCAGGUAAUGCUGGGACUCUAAGGAACUGCCUACGCAAGUAGUGAGGAAGGCGGGGAUGACGUCAAAUCAGCACGGCCCUUACGUCCAGGGCUACACACGUGCUACAAUGGCCGAUACAGAGGGCAGCUACCUGGUGACAGGAUGCAAAUCUCCAAAGUCGGUCUCAGUUCGGAUCGGAGUCUGCAACCCGACUCCGUGAAGUUGGAUUCGCUAGUAAUCGCGCAUCAGCCAUGGCGCGGUGAAUACGUUCCCGGGCCCGUU